GCGCGCGUGGUGGAAUUGGUAGACACGCUACCUUGAGGUGGUAGUGGCCAUUUUAGAGCUGUGCUGGUUCAAGUCCAGUCGCGCGCACCA
rnacentral:tRNA from 1 species